GACGAACGCUGGCGGCGUGCUUAACACAUGCAAGUCGAACGGAAAGGCCCUGCUUGCAGGGUACUCGAGUGGCGAACGGGCGAGUAACACGUGGGUGAUCUGCCCUGCACUUCGGGAUAAGCCUGGGAAACUGGGUCUAAUACCGGAUAGGAGCCAUUUUUAGUGUGAUGGUUGGAAAGUUUUUUCGGUUUAGGCUGAGCUCGCGGCCUAUCAGCUUGUUGGUGGGGUAAUGGCCUACCAAGGCGGCGACGGGUAGCCGGCCUGAGAGGGUGGACGGCCACGUUGGGACUGAGAGACGGCCCAGACUCCUACGGGAGGCAGCAGUGGGGAAGAUUGCACAAUGGGCGCAAGCCUGAUGCAGCGACGCCGCGUGGGGGAUGACGGCCUUCGGGUUGUAAACUCCUUUCGCUAGGGACGAAGCUUUUUGUGACGGUACCUAGAUAAGAAGCACCGGCUAACUACGUG
rnacentral:rRNA from 1 species